UGUGUCGAAAUGCAGUGUUUCCCAAGA
rnacentral:piRNA from 1 species